UACGUAGGGCGCAAGCGUUAUCCGGAAUUAUUGGGCGUAAAGAGCUCGUAGGCGGUUUGUCGCGUCUGCUGUGAAAAUCCAGGGCUUAACCCUGGACCUGCAGUGGGUACGGGCAGACUGGAGUGCGGUAGGGGAGAUCGGAAUUCCUGGUGUAGCGGUGAGAUGCGCAGAUAUCAGGAGGAACACCGGUGGCGAAGGCGGAUCUCUGGGCCGUAACUGACGCUGAGGAGCGAAAGCAUGGGGAGCGAACAGG
rnacentral:rRNA from 1 species